UACGUAGGGUGCAAGCGUUAAUCGGAAUUACUGGGCGUAAAGCGUGCGCAGGCGGCUAUGCAAGACAGAUGUGAAAUCCCCGGGCUCAACCUGGGAACUGCAUUUGUGACUGCAUGGCUAGAGUACGGUAGAGGGGGAUGGAAUUCCGCGUGUAGCAGUGAAAUGCGUAGAUAUGCGGAGGAACACCGAUGGCGGAGGCAAUCCCCUGGACCUGUACUGACGCUCAUGCACGAAAGCGUGGGGAGCAAACAGG
rnacentral:rRNA from 1 species